rnacentral:rRNA from 1 species
UACGUAGGGGCCUAGCGUUGUCCGGAUUUAUUGGGCGUAAAGAGCUCGUAGGCGGUUCGGCAAGUCGGAUGUGAAAUCUCCACGCUCAACGUGGAGGGGCCAUUCGAAACUGCCGUGACUCGAGUCCGGUAGGGGAGUGUGGAAUUCCCGGUGUAGCGGUGAAAUGCGCAGAUAUCGGGAGGAACACCAGUAGCGAAGGCGGCACUCUAGUACGGUACUGACGCUGAGACGCGAAAGCGUGGGGAGCGAACAGG